rnacentral:lncRNA from 1 species
GAUGAGCAUAUAAUACAUACAUAUUUUACCCUUUAUUAUAUAAUUGCUAGUUAUAUUUAUUUAUUAUUUUUAAUUAAUUGAAUUAUUUUAUUGCAUAGGAAAUUAAUUAGAGAUUAUGGAUGAAAAGUACGUAAAGAAUAACAAUUGGACAACAUUGAAGAUCAAAUCAAUUUGUGGAAGUAAUUAAGGAGAUGUGCAAGAAAUUUUGUUCGAAGAAACCGAAGCCAAUAAAUUGAAUUCUCCAUGUUCGUGCAAAUAAAGAAGAAGGUUAAAGCUAAAGUGGGCAGCACAUUAAACAAAGCUUUUAAUUAAGGCUUUGAAUGGAAAGUCAAAGUAGAAUAAAGAAAGGAAAUCAAUAGUUUUGGCUUUUAUAGUUUUCAAUUACGUGGCCAAGCAAAUAAAAGGGCAAGCCUUGUGGCUUUAGGAUUUAAAAGGUGGGGCCCAUUUCAAAGAUUAUAAAAGGGAGUUGUGGCUUUUGGAGAAGAAAAA